UACGGAGGGAGCUAGCGUUGUUCGGAAUUACUGGGCGUAAAGCGCACGUAGGCGGCUUUGUAAGUUAGAGGUGAAAGCCUGGAGCUCAACUCCAGAACUGCCUUUGAUACUGCAUGGCUUGAAUCCAGGAGAGGUGAGUGGAAUUCCGAGUGUAGAGGUGAAAUUCGUAGAUAUUCGGAAGAACACCAGUGGCGAAGGCGGCUCACUGGACUGGUAUUGACGCUGAGGUGCGAAAGCGUGGGGAGCAAACAGGG
rnacentral:rRNA from 1 species